rnacentral:misc_RNA from 1 species
GAUGAAGAACGCAGCGAAAUGCGAUAAGUAGUGUGAAUUGCAGAAUUCAGUGAAUCAUCGAAUCUUUGAACGCACAUUGCGCCCUCUGGUAUUCCUCAGGGCAUGCCUGUUCGAGCGUCAUCUAACCCCUCAAGCAGCGCUUGGUGUUGGGCGCUUGUCCCCCCCGCUCGGGCGGGGACUCGCCUCGAAAACAUUGGCGGCCCGUGUAUUGGCUUCGAGCGCAGCACAAUUGCCCUCGUCCCCUCUCCGCGCGGGCGCUCCAGCAAGCGACACACCCACGUUUUGACCUCGGAUCAGGUAGGGAUACCCGCUGAACUUAAGCAUAUCAAUAAGCGGAGGA